UACGGGGGGAGCAAGCGUUGUUCGGAUUUACUGGGCGUAAAGGGCGCGUAGGCGGCCUCCGCAAGUCAGUUGUGAAAUCUCCGGGCUUAACCCGGAGCGGUCAAGUGAUACUGUCGGACUAGAGUACAGAAGGGGCAACUGGAAUUCUCGGUGUAGCGGUGAAAUGCGUAGAUAUCAGGAGGAACACCGAUGGCGAAGGCAGGUCUCUGGGCUGACACUGACGCUCAUGCACGAAAGCGUGGGGAGCAAACAGG
rnacentral:rRNA from 1 species